rnacentral:tRNA from 1 species
GAUAAAGUAAGCUAAAAAUAAGCUGUUGGGUUCAUACCCCAAAAAUGGAUAAAUAUUCCUUUAUUA